CAUGAUCGUGUAUGUUCUUUGACAAUCUCCUACAUGGAAUAAAAUGAAAAUAUUUUGCAUUAUUAUUUUUUUCCUGUUUCUGCAGCUUCAAAAAUGCUACUCGGACUUUCUCUUUGGAAAUAAUCACCUCGGCAUUCGUAAACCACAUGGUUACGAAAAAGCUAAUCUUGCUUGUGAAUGUGGUAAACUGAAGAAAGUUGUAAAAAAACCCAUACCAUGGAAACUAGCUGAUGAUAUAUAUAAAAACGAUAAAAUUUCUCCCACAAACUCCAUCGACUUCAUCGAAUACAUCA